AUCACCACCAUUUCUCUUUAUUUUAUGCAAAACAUUUUACUCAAAACUCAUUGAGACUCGAGAUCAAAUUUUUGUGCGUGCUUUUUUGCGAAAUUUGCAAGAUUAAUAAAUUUUAUAUAAAAUGCAACACUUUGUCUCAUUCGCUGUCCUUUAGGAAACCCCAUCAGGUCAGUACUUGUUUACUGCAGGGCCUGAAGAUAUGGACACAGAAGUCCGGGAUAAAGUUUCAUGGUGCCUGUGCUUGGCCGCCAUAUCUCUCAGAAGAACCUUUAGAGACUGUGCAGGAACAGGACCUCCGCUGCAGACAACAAGAUGAGUUGAUGCAGGAUGAUUCAGAGAAAGAAGGAGAGAGGAAAACCGAGGAUAAAAAAAGAUUACACCAAAAACCAACUCCAAGAAAAACACAUGUCCAAAGAAUAGCUACUGUAAGUCUGAUGUUCGACACCCCACCUGUGAGGAACGUGGUCACACAAAAGUACCCACUGGUUUCCCUGGCACCAUUCUCCUUUUGAACAUGCCUGGCAACCACUUCCAUUAUCUACCUGGCAACAGUUUCACUAACAUCCCCGAGGUGGUGUCCCUUCACUUGGACGUCUGUAAGAUUCAUGACAUCGAGGGUGGAGCUUUCCAGGGCAUCUCGCCAAUAACACCAUCACAAACAUAGUUUCUAGAGCACUGGAUUCAGCUCCCAAUCUGGACGUUCUCCAUCUUGGAGAUAAUAAGCUGACAGAAGUGCCUAGUGAUGCGCUAGGCAAGGCACCUCUGUUGACCGAAGUCCAUUGGAUUGGUCCGAGAGCGUUUCGGGGUGUCGUUAAAGGUCUAAAACACUUGUAUAUUGAUAGAAUGGGUCUUCAGAAGAUGAGUGCAAAGUCUCUGGCAUGGUUUGGUCCUGGCCUGGUGUCUUUAUCUCUGGAAGAGAAUCAGUUAGAAGAGUUACCUGACCUUUCAUCACUUACUGGCCUGCAGCACCUCACCCUGGGCAACAAUCCUUUAAUGUGUGACUGCAAAUCACUGCCAUUUUACAGCGCAGCCAAAGCCAGACCGGCAGAAACUGAUCCUAAACCAGCAGAGACCAAGAUGACAGCAGGACUAUUACAAAACAGUGGACUCAAACCAGAUAAAAAGUUGAAAACAAGAAGGUUAAAAAAGAAAAACAGAAGAAAGAAGACCAAGCAUUGAGAAAUGAUAUGAGCCAGAGUUUUGUACUUCAGUAUGCUGAAUCUUCUACAAUAAACGUGUGCACAGUAGUUGCUAGUAACAGUAAGUUUACACAUGUUGAUUUGACCAGGCUUAAAGAAGAUAAGGUUAUACAGAAAUGUAACGUACCUUUUUCUCUGGUCGACAUUAGUUAUGUCUUCCAUAUUUUGCAAGUAAACAAGUAAAACCGAACUUCUCUAUGUGAGAAAAAAGGUUUUUUAUUGUCCGAAAGUUAAUUUGCCCACUUGAAUUUAGUAAAUGCAGGUUUUAAGAUAAACUUUAAUAUCAGUUUUACAUUAUUUACAAUCUACAAACUACAUACAAUACUGGCUGAUUUGUCUAUCAAAAAAGUAAUUUCCUGUUCCAGAGGAUCUAGAGAAUAAUUUUUUUCGGUUUAAAAUCAAUUUUGCAUUCAUUAAUUUCCCCCUAAAAUGAUUGAACUGUCUGGUUACUUCGGUUCAGGACUGCACCAUGUGUAAUCUGUAGAAGGAGCCACAAGGGGGCUACAAUCAUGUGAUGCAACAAACUGAGCAUCACUGUAUCUGUUGCUCUCCAAUUGAGUCCCAUGCAGUUAGGAGACACCAGUGAGGGAAGAGAGCAGGAGAUGAACAGCAGUCAGGACACUGAUGAGGGUGUUCUUAUCAUGUGGGUAGGGUCGAGCUGGUACCUUCCUAUUCUUAAAUAAAUAGUCACUUUCAGUCUGUUCACCACACAAAGCUGUUGCGUGGUUUCAGAAGAUUUGCAAUAAAUCACACAGGUUACUUUGUUUUAGUUUCAUGUUGGUUUUAUUCAUUCUUUUUUGGUAACUCCUAUAUCUUUAUAAUCACUAAUCUAUAUCACAUUGUAUAGGAAAGUAUAUCACAUAACAAUGUUGAUCCUCUCUGACUCUACAGUGGUGUUAAAUGAUUAUCAAUAAUGCUA